rnacentral:lncRNA from 1 species
CAUUGACAAAGGCCAAAGUUGCACACCCAGCCUUGCCCAGUGAUAUGAGGGAAAUCACAUUUUCUUGAUGCUUGUGGAAUGAAAGUGGCAGCUGUUACCAUGGAAAUAGUCAAUUUCUGAAAGAAGAAGUUUUGAGGAGGCUGAAUAUCACCACUAAUCUAAGAGAUUGCAGUCAAGACAAAAGGUUAAAGUUGGAGAUGCGCUAAUUAGGAGGUUGUUGCCUCUCUGGUAAUGUGAGGAUGGAUACAAAGGUGAUGAUCUGCUGCCAGAAUAAAUAAAUCUUAGGAAGUGCCAAGACUGCUCAGCCAUUUGCUGCGAUACCACUCCCACAUAAGGAACCUGUAUCAUCACCUUUUUUCAAGCAGCUUCUCCACCGUGGGCAUAAUCAAACUCUGAAGGGUCAAGAUUUUCUGCAGAAGUU